rnacentral:rRNA from 1 species
GACGAACCGUACGAACGUUAUUCGGAAUCACUGGGCUUAAAGGGUGCGUAGGCGGCGCGACAAGUUGGGUGUGAAAUCCCUCGGCUCAACCGAGGAACUGCGCCCAAAACUGUCGUGCUCGAGGGAGACAGAGGUGAGCGGAACUUAAGGUGGAGCGGUGAAAUGCGUUGAUAUCCUAAGGAACACCGGUGGCGAAAGCGGCUCACUGGGUCUCUUCUGACGCUGAGGCACGAAAGCUAGGGGAGCAAACAGG